AAAGGAACCCAUCAGCAUUCUCCGAGGUGAGGGCUCCCCACAGACCCUGCGGGGCAUCAGCUUGCUGACCUCUCAAGACACCUGCGGCGCGGUGAGUCUCAUUCCUAGGGUAGGUAUGAGGAAACAGAUGCUCUCAGGCCAGGGGACUUGCCUGAAGCCACAGAGCUGCCCAGUGGCAGAUUAGGUCUUGGAGGCAGGUCUCCUGUGCCCCGUGUUUAACCCCUGCACACCAGGAUUGCACAGGGAUUCUGCAGUGAACGUAGGGGGGGGAGAACCGGCAGCCAGGCCUCCUGCGUCUUUAGAAUGGAGGGUGUCAGCCGGGUGUGGUGGCACAGGCCUGUUUGUCCCAGCACCUCAGGAGGCUGAGGCAGGAGGAUCGCGAGUUCAAAGCCAGCCUCAGCAAAAGCGAGUCCCUGAGCAACUGAGUGAGACCCUGUCUCUCAAUAAAAUACAAAAUGGGGCUGGGGAUAGGGCUCAGUGGUUGAGAGCCCCUGAGAUCAGUCCCUGGUACCCCCAACACCCCUCUAAAAAAACCGGGGGGACAGCCCAAGGGCUUCAGUUCUGAUCUGGGAACUCCAUAACCCUGUGAUCUUGGUGUGUCAGUACCCCAGCUCUGGGCUCGGUUUCCUCAUCUAUCAAGAGGGGAUGAUGAUCUCCCGUCCACUCAUCCCAGAAGCGUGGGGGUCGAGGCCCUUCGCCUCCACCACCAGGACACAGACACCAACACGAGCCUGUUGUGGUGGUAUCCAAGGAACCCAGCGUUGUUUAUCGGAGCCUCUGACUGGCAAACCCUUGACCCAAACCGUUGCACAACGUAUGGUCCUGAUCAUAUGAGCCUUUGCGCCACAGCUCAGGUCCCCUGAGUGCCCGUGGCCAUCUCCUAAGAUGCUGAGCCGCGCGAGGGUGGCAGUGAUUGCCUCACAUGGUGGCAGCUCUUCUUGCCAUGGGAGUACAAGUGGCAGCCAAGAGUUCGGCGGAGUCACGCUCAUGUGCUCUGUCCCAGCGUGGACCCGCUCUGCUUGGGGAUUGCUAAACGUGGCCUUGGGUCCCUGGCACCGCUCACGGAGGAGCUUAUGCCAGGGCUGGGGUCGAAUGUGUUCCCCAGAUCCCACCAAGGGGAGGGGUGCAGAUAUCUGACCCUGUCCCCUCUCUCAUUUGACCCCUUUCUACCACAGAGAGACCUGUGCUCCAAUUCAGCCUCUACCAUUUUUUAGCUGUGUGGCCUCGGACCGCUCACCUCCUGUCUCUGAGCCUUAGUUCCCUUGUCUGUAAAAUAGGGCUUAUCAGUCCUAGGGAUUAGGGUUGCUGAGAUUCCACAGCACGACGGGUUUACAAAGUGUCCCACCCAAGACCUGGCCCCGAGUGGGUGCAGAAUAUGUGUUGGUUUUCUGGUGACCUUGGAUAACCCCUUUUUUCUCUCGGACUUGGGUUUCUUCACAUCAAACAGGAGACCUGAGGGCCUCUUGGGUCCUUCUCAGCUCUUUCAAGAGUCUCCAAGCUUGUCCAAAAUUUGGAAUAACAAUCACGGGUGGUGUCAGCUAUUGGGCCCAAAACGGAGGGCAGAAAUCAGGUCAAUGUCCCUGGGCCACUUGACUGCAGGCUCCAGGCAAGUCGCAGAUCAAGGUGCUAGCAGGACUGAGUCCUUAGAGGGUCUUCUCUUUGACUUACAGAUGGCUGUCUUCUUGCUGAGCCUCACAUGACCUUCUUCUGUAUCCUUUUGGGUUAUAGCCCUCAUCUUUAUGAUCCCAUUUAAUUUUCCUUCCCUUCUUGAAGGGCCUGUCUCCUAAUACAAUCACAUUGGCAGCUAAGGGGUUCAACAUAUGAAUUUUAGGGGACCCAUUCAGUCCCAUCGAACCAUGUGAGCGUGCCCUCUUGGAAGGAGAUCCCACAGCCCUGGUUGGAGUCUUCAGAGUGGGCAAGAGAGAGGGACCUGGGAUUUAUUCUCAGGUUCCAGUUCUUGGAGUGGGGGGGUCCCCUGGGAUCUACCACCCUGGACCAAGAUCAGGCUCCCUGUGAGACCACUCUCUUCCCAAUGCCGGCUCCUUUGCCCUGUUCUGCGGACUCUUGGUCCCUGGGGGGGUCUAGCCUGCACCUUGCCCAUCCCUCUCUAAAUCAUCCCACUAGCAAACCGCCCAACCAGAGUGGGCUGGGAUCCUCG
rnacentral:lncRNA from 1 species